UGUUUUUUCCUUUCAUCAAAUCAGUAUUUGCCUUUCACGCGAUUCAUUCCCAGUUCCUCUUCCAGCAAAUGACACAUCUGUUUUUCUUCCUUGCCCUCAUCGUCCAUACUCAUCCCAUUUUUUUUCCAGCAACUAUGGGGACUGAGUGAUAGAUAAUUAUGAAGAGUUGCAAUUUUCCAUAAACAAGAAAACAUUGUUGGAGAGAAAUUAAAAGAAUGGCCGGCGUUUGCCGGAGAAUGAGUCCAAAAUCAAGAGGCAGAGGAAUAGAUAUUGUUGUGACACUGGGGAGGAAUUUACUGUUAUUUUCACUGCACACUCAAGGUUUUCUGUUCGUCACAUUUUCUUCUGUCACCAGAUCUAGGGUUUCGCCCAUUUCUUGCCUUGUUAAUUUUAUUUUUCAAUUUAAUUCUUAUUCCCAGUAUAGAGUUUCUCAAAAGAUUUGAUUAUUAGCUGUGAAAUAGAUUGGAAUGAUGAAUAAGUUAAAUAUUUCUUUCGUAGUUAUAUAAUAAUCUGCUUCAACUUUUCUGAAAGUCUAAUUAUAUAUUUUUACCUUUUUCCUACUUUAGCCAUUGGGAUUUCAAGUUGAGGAUACAAAAUUAAAGCGUGCUGGAUUUGAUUAUUGACGGCAUGCUUUACAAUUUCCUUUUUGAAGCUGAAUAUAUUCGGAGUGGUGGAGCCAUUACUUUCAUACAUUGACGUUGCUUCCCUUCUAAUAUAGGCGAAUACCUGAUGAGAGUAGUGCAACUUGAUAGCUUAUUAUUUGGAGUUUGGUCUCUGUUUUUGGCAUUUAAAACUAGGAGGCUGAAUACGUAAAAGACAGAUACUUCUAUGUCUUAAGCACUAAAAAUAAAGGUGGCAAAGAAUACUAUUUUAAAGAGGUACAACAGACUUCUAAAGUGAUUAUGAUGAAUAUGUUUCUCUCCAGAAUGUCAAACGUUUGACAUAAUUAGUUGUUCAAAACAGAACUGUAUGAGGCACUAGAUGGAGAUGCCAUUUUGUUGAUUAAUCAUAUGACAAAUAAUUGUCAUCUGAUUAUCUAUAAAUUCUUUAUACGUUCGACAAGGAGAAAAAGAAAUCAGUUGAUCAGCUAUGCCAAAAGAUCACCAUUUAGUUAAAAAGUUUCAUAUGGAAGAAACUUCUCUUUGCACUGAGGUUUCAUCAGAUACACAAAGUUGUCAAACUCUGCGAGAAAUAGAAAAUAGCACUAGAGGAUCAAAAUGGAAUUCAUGAUGGAAACAAACAUGAAGGAAGGAGAGAAUUCGUUGCGCCUGCUAUAGGAAUGGAGUUUGAGUCCUACUACGAUGCUUACAAUUAUUAUAAUUGUUAUGCCAGAGAGGUUGGAUUUAGUGUGAGACUAAAAAACUCGUGGUUCAAAGAAAUAGCAGAGAGAAAUGUGGUGCUGUACUCUGUUGCGGUAGCCAGGGUUUUAAAAGAGUUGAAGAUGUAAACCAUUUGCGGAAGGAAACGAGAACUGGUUGUGUCACACCCCUCAUUUUUUUUAGUCAAAGUCAAGAAAAAAUAUUUAGUCAAAGUCAAAGUCAUUAAAGACUUAAGUUGAACAAAUAACUUUUAUGGGAUUUAAAUUGAAAUUUCGAGUAAUUGAAGGUUAGGAAUGAUAUAAUAAAGGAAUCCAAGGAUUAGUUUCUAUUAUGGGAAAAAGAAAUGACUAAAUGUGAUAUUGUCCGAAGAUGGUGGACUUGCCUUGCAAUUAUUUAAUAUUUAUCCACUAAA